AGAAUCAACGCUGGCGGCGUGCCUAACACAUGCAAGUCGAACGAGAAAGUGGAGCAAUCCAUUAGUAAAGUGGCGCACGGGUGAGUAACACGUGACUAACCUACCCUUGAGUGGGGGAUAACCUAGGGAAACCUGGGCUAAUACCGCAUAAUACCUACGGGUCAAAGGAGCAAUUCGCUUUAGGAGGGGGUCGCGGCCGAUUAGUUAGUUGGCGGGGUAAUGGCCCACCAAGACGAUGAUCGGUAUCCGGCCUGAGAGGGCGCACGGACACACUGGAACUGAAACACGGUCCAGACUCCUACGGGAGGCAGCAGUGGGGAAUUUUGCGCAAUGGGGGAAACCCUGACGCAGCAACGCCGCGUGGAGGAUGAAGCCCCUUGGGGCGUAAACUCCUUUCGAUCGGGACGAUAAUGACGGUACCGAGAGAAGAGCCCGGCUAACUUCGCGCCAGCAGCCGC
rnacentral:rRNA from 1 species